GACACAGGCCCGUUCACCCCCCCGCUCCCUCCCUCCCACUUGAGGCCUCGUGGAGGGAGGCGUCCGUCCGGUAGGAGAGCCGCGAGGUGUGAAAGCCUCGAGACGAGACGGCGCGCACACGGGCCACGGGCUGUGUUGACCGCUGAGCCCGUUCCCGCCCCAGCUGCCGCCGCGUCACGGAGGGUCUGUCCCAAGCCUGUCUCCACGGUGCACACGGCGUGUCCACAGACUGAAGGAAGAAAGCCACUGCUGGGACCCCUAACCCCAUACGAAAGCUGAGGGCGGUGACGUGUCUGGUCGAGGCGGGGCCCACAGGCGGUUCCCGCCUCCGGAACAGAUGGAGAUGAAGGCGCGUGGCCCUGAAGGUGCACACGGGGGGCACGGGGCACAGGGCCUUCCCUCCCGCCCGCCGUGUCCGAGCCCAGCCGGGCGUCCCCCCUGCCCUGACCAGCCCCAUGGACCCUUCCAUGGCCGGCAGGUGCUAUAAACAGCGACUUGAAAGACGUUCCCUUCCUCCGCCCGCAAGUCUUUUUGCUUCUUCGUUUCUCUUUUCAGGGCCGCACCCGAGGCAUACAGAGAUUCCCAGGCGAGGGAUCGAAUCGGCGCUGCAGCCACUGGCCUACACCACAGCCAAGCAACGCAGGAUCCAAGCCGCGUCUGCGACCCACACCACAGCUCACAGCCAGGCCAGGGAUCAAACCCACAACCUCGUGGUUCCCGGUCAGAUUCGUUUCCGCUGCGCCACAACGGGACCGCCCACCCCCAGGUCAUUACGAUGAGGGGACAGGCCCACAACCCUCUGGUCCUCGAUUCUGAAACCCCGAAAAGCCCUACAAAGAUUUGUUUUUCAUCGUGCAGCAAAGACACAAGGGUACCUUUCUGAGGAAAGAGGGGGAUGGUGGGGCAGCGGCCGAGCCCCGACGUGGUUCUGCGGCAUAGUUGGCACGGCGCGGUCAGCUCUGACCCUCAGCCAGGCCGCGAGGAGAGCGAGGCUCUUUGCCGAGGCGUCCUGC
rnacentral:lncRNA from 1 species